NNNNNNNNNNNNNNNNGCCGAGAUGGUGCGACCUUAAACAAUUUUAAGGUGAUAUGUUUGGUAAUGUAUUUGUGAUCUUUAAAAGGUGUAGCGUUUUGGGAAUGUACAACAUACAAGGUAAAACCAAGAUUACAUUAAACAUUAUUUUAUCCUCUGCACUAAUUUUGCAGUGAGGCACAAAUGGCAAGUACACUAUUCAAUGACAUUUACUGUCAAAAUUAGGAACUUCAUUGGAAUUACUCUGAAAAACAUAAGCCACUGUAACUUGACACAGUGACACAUUUUUCCAUUUUAGGACAUCCAAUUAUAUAUAAAUCUCUGGACUAUUACAUUCAGACUCAUUUGUACUGCCAAAUGUGGCAUUUUAAAGAAGUUUCUAGAAAACAAUUGCAAUCACUGUUGUUUGGGGGGAAGGUUAUCACCCUGUACAUAAGAGAUUAAAUUUAAAUGAAAUGUAAACAUACAGUAUAUUAUAGUGACAGGUCGUUCUUACCACUCAGAAAGGCCAAAUUUAUCCAUUUCUUUUUCGAACAAAGGUGAUUUUUUUCUACAGCACAUAUCCUUUGACAUAAAACAAUUACAAUACAUGCCCAUUCUUUUUUAAAGGAAAGUCUUCAGAGAUCUUCGAAGCAUAAAACAUAUGUU
rnacentral:lncRNA from 1 species